rnacentral:rRNA from 1 species
CCUACGGGUGGCAGCAGUGAGGAAUAUUGGUCAAUGGGCGCGAGCCUGAACCAGCCAAGUCGCGUGAGGGAAGACGGUCCUCUGGAUUGUAAACCUCUUUUGUCGGGGAGCAAAAGACGCCACGCGUGGCGUUCCGAGAGUACCCGAAGAAAAAGCAUCGGCUAACUCCGUGCCAGCAGCCGCGGUAAUACGGGGGAUGCGAGCGUUAUCCGGAUUUAUUGGGUUAAAGGGGUGCGCAGGCGGAAGAUCAAGUCAGCGGUAAAAUUGAGAGGCUCAACCUCUUCGAGCCGUUGAAACUGGUGUUCUUGAGUGAGCGAGAAGUAUGCGGAAUGCGAGGUGUAGCGGUGAAAUGCAUAGAUAUCACGCAGAACUCCGAUUGCGAAGGCAGCAUACCGGCGCUCAACUGACGCUCAUGCACGAAAGUGUGGGUAUCGAACAGGAUUAGAUACCCUUGUAGUC